rnacentral:lncRNA from 1 species
GUUCGGUUUCUUUUCUGAAUAAUUGAGCUAUCAGCCCACGGGAGAUUUCUCCUCAUGAUUGUUAACUUACAUGUAAUGUAAAUUGUACAUACAAUAACCACCAGGCAUGCUAAAACAUCACAUCCGGUAACUAUAGUGUAUAAAUAAAGGCUCAUGUCAUAACCAUGACUAUAAUAUUCUAAAUCAGUACAACAUCUGCCAUUAAUCGGUUCAACAUAUGAUAGCUUCUCGACACUGAAAAUUGCCGAAAAAAUACAAAAACUAAAGAUAAAAAUUGAAAUAGAACAUAUUGCAUUUCUUCUGUUUCUUAUAUGUGAUUUACUCCACAUUGGAAAUAGAAGAGCAACAGUUUUCUGUAAACAUAAAAGUGUUGUUAAAAGAAUGGACACAAAAUGAAAGCUAUACAUUGAAAUAAAAAUCAC